CCCCGUACACAAAAAUGCACAUGCUGUGAGCUCGAUGAGUAGGGCGGGACACGUGGUAUCCUGUCUGAAUAUGGGGGGACCAUCCUCCAAGGCUAAAUACUCCUGACUGACCGAUAGUGAACCAGUACCGUGAGGGAAAGGCGAAAAGAACCCCGGCGAGGGGAGUGAAAAAGAACCUGAAACCGUGUACGUACAAGCAGUGGGAGCACGCUUAGGCGUGUGACUGCGUACCUUUUGUAUAAUGGGUCAGCGACUUAUAUUCUGUAGCAAGGUUAACCGAAUAGGGGAGCCGAAGGGAAACCGAGUCUUAACUGGGCGUUAAGUUGCAGGGUAUAGACCCGAAACCCGGUGAUCUAGCCAUGGGCAGGUUGAAGGUUGGGUAACACUAACUGGAGGACCGAACCGACUAAUGUUGAAAAAUUAGCGGAUGACUUGUGGCUGGGGGUGAAAGGCCAAUCAAACCGGGAGAUAGCUGGUUCUCCCCGAAAGCUAUUUAGGUAGCGCCUCGUGAAUUCAUCUCCGGGGGUAGAGCACUGUUUCGGCAAGGGGGUCAUCCCGACUUACCAACCCGAUGCAAACUGCGAAUACCGGAGAAUGUUAUCACGGGAGACACACGGCGGGUGCUAACGUCCGUCGUGAAGAGGGAAACAACCCAGACCGCCAGCUAAGGUCCCAAAGUCAUGGUUAAGUGGGAAACGAUGUGGGAAGGCCCAGACAGCCAGGAUGUUGGCUUAGAAGCAGCCAUCAUUUAAAGAAAGCGUAAUAGCUCACUGGUCGAGUCGGCCUGCGCGGAAGAUGUAACGGGGCUAAACCAUGCACCGAAGCUGCGGCAGCGACGCUUAUGCGUUGUUGGGUAGGGGAGCGUUCUGUAAGCCUGUGAAGGUGUGCUGUGAGGCAUGCUGGAGGUAUCAGAAGUGCGAAUGCUGACAUAAGUAACGAUAAAGCGGGUGAAAAGCCCGCUCGCCGGAAGACCAAGGGUUCCUGUCCAACGUUAAUCGGGGCAGGGUGAGUCGACCCCUAAGGCGAGGCCGAAAGGCGUAGUCGAUGGGAAACAGGUUAAUAUUCCUGUACUUGGUGUUACUGCGAAGGGGGGACGGAGAAGGCUAUGUUGGCCGGGCGACGGUUGUCCCGGUUUAAGCGUGUAGGCUGGUUUUCCAGGCAAAUCCGGAAAAUCAAGGCUGAGGCGUGAUGACGAGGCACUACGGUGCUGAAGCAACAAAUGCCCUGCUUCCAGGAAAAGCCUCUAAGCAUCAGGUAACAUCAAAUCGUACCCCAAACCGACACAGGUGGUCAGGUAGAGAAUACCAAGGCGCUUGAGAGAACUCGGGUGAAGGAACUAGGCAAAAUGGUGCCGUAACUUCGGGAGAAGGCACGC
rnacentral:rRNA from 1 species